rnacentral:lncRNA from 1 species
GAAGCUCGAACUCAUAUAAAAAAGUACUCCAGCUAUUAAUCAUUCAAUUAAUCAAGAUAGGAAAUACUAUUUUGAUCAUCAUUCAUCAUCGUCAUAUAGAGGUAGACCCUUUUCUUCAAUGUGUGUGUGUGUGUGUGUUUUUGUCGCUAUUUUUUGCUGGGUUUUACUUCAAUUACUCAAAGUUUGAGUCUUGAUUAUCAACUCUCUGUGUGUGUGUGUGUUGUUUUCCUUAAUUUGGAUUCCCAUUGUUCUAGUUUUCUGGUAUGUGUGAAAUUGGAUAGCGAUGAUUAUUAAUGCUGACAAAGAAAGUAUUUUUUUAUUUAGUUUUUUAUUUUCAAAAAAUAAAUUUGUUUCUUGAAUUUGCAUAUACUUGUAUAUGUAAGCUGGAAAUUUACUCCAAUUUCUUUUUUGUUGUUGUUGUUUCAAAAUUGCUUUAUGCCGUUGAUAUUGAGAGCUACUGAAAGUGGACUAUUUUGCUGAUUUUUGGGAACAUAUUAUAUUAAAUGAUGAGUGAUUUCAAUUGGGGGUUAGGCUUUGGUAUUUUCUAGAGCAGCAAUAGUUCAAGAUAACUUCAUAAUUUUGAUUAAUAGCAACUUUUUUUUCUUGAUUUCCCCUCCUUUUCCUGUAUAAUUCAGCCCCUGCAUAAGGCCUAAUCCCUGCAAAUUGUAGCAGUUUUCGUAUAGGUCGUGUCUCCAAAUCUCGAACGCCAAAAUGUAGUUCGUAUUAGGAUUCGAAAGGCUCGUUUCUUGAUCUCUAGAUAGUAACUGAUUGUUGGCUGAGUAUGUUUAAAUGCUCCUUUUGUGUUGAUGUUGUGUAUACAUCUAAGCACCCCUCGUUUCAUGCUA